rnacentral:rRNA from 1 species
CCUACGGGGGGCAGCAGUGGGGAAUAUUGGGCAAUGGGCGCAAGCCUGACCCAGCAACGCCGCGUGAAGGAAGAAGGCUUUCGGGUUGUAAACUUCUGUUAUAAAGGAAGAAAGACGGAUGGAGGAAAUGACAUCCGAGUGACGGUACUUUAUGAGACAGCCACGGCUAACUCCGUGCCAGCAGCCGCGGUAAUACGGAGGGUGCGAGCGUUAAUCGGAAUUACUGGGCGUAAAGCGCUCGUAGGCGGUAUGUCAAGUCAAGGGUGAAAUCCCCGCGCUCAACGUGGGAACUGCCUUUGAAACUGGCAAACUGGAGUGUGUGAGAGGAGAGUGGAAUUCCAGGUGUAGGAGUGAAAUCCGUAGAUAUCUGGAGGAACAUCAGUGGCGAAGGCGACUAGCUGGCACAUAACUGACGCUGAGGAGCGAAAGCGUGGGUAGCAAACAGGAUUAGAUACCCCAGUAGUC